rnacentral:misc_RNA from 1 species
AAAGAACAGUAACCAAAAGGCCUGUUUGGUAUGUUGCAAUUGAUAGCAUAGCAACAAGGAGUAGGCAAGCAUACUGCUUUAGCCCCACCACAGCAAGUGCAAAGUGCACAAAUCUGAAAACUCCCAAGCUUCCUCCUUGUGUUAUUCAGCAUUAUCAUCAUUUUCUCUGCCUUCCCUGGCUCAAUUAGAGGCACCAUCUCAGACCCUUUUGCCUACACAAGCA